rnacentral:rRNA from 1 species
AGUUGGUGGAGUACUCUGUCUUCUUGAUUGAGAUAACGAACGAGACCGUAACCUGCUAAAUAGCUAUGGCAACCUUUGGUUGGUAGAAGCUUCUUAGAGGGACUGAUUGCGACAAGCAAUUGGAAGUUUGCGGCAAUAACAGGU